CCUGUACUUGUGAGCGGACGUGUACAGUGACCUCAGCAGUUUGUGCGUAUCAGCUGACAUACAUAAAGGCGAGAAGACAUGGAACGCGGUUUCUCUCUUGCAGGACCAUCUUCUAAUCCUCGUAAACGACAGGUGCGAUUUUCAGCACGUCAUGACAUCCUGCUCCUCCGUGAAGUGAUAGCACAGAAUCCUUUCACUUCUAAAGAGUCAGGCCGGAUCUGGGCAAGGGUGGGUGAAAUUAUUACUGCAACACUGCAGGAUGAAAGCUUUGAAGUGGAUGGACGCAGAUGCAGAGAGAGGACCAUGCUGCUACUUGAUUAUUACAAAAAACAGGACUUUGCUAGUCUGCGCAGGUUUGGUACGGAGCGUCUCUAUGCACAAAAAGAAGACCUGUUGCAUGAAGUGCUAGAGUUGGAGGCAGAGAAGAACCUUCUGACAAGUGGAGAAAGUAAAUAUCAUGAUGAAGAGCUCAGAAAGAGAGCACUGGAGGAAUUAUCAUUGCCAGAGCCUGACAAAACAGCUUCGUUGUCAGUUACAACAGCUCCACCCACUGUUGUAGCCAGUCCAGAACCUGAAGAGCAGGAGGAGGCAGAGCUUACAGCUCCAACAGCCAAAAGGCCAUGCCAGUGCUGCUGCCAGACCUACUCAGAGAUCCUGAGCUUCCUGGAAAAACGCUUUGAAGCAGAACAGAGUCUGCGAGAGGAGGAGAUGGCAUUGAGAAGAGAGGAGCUAGAAAUCCAGAGGAGUAAAAUUGCACUGGAUCGGGAGCGUCUUGGAGCAGAAAGAAAAGAACGGGAACGUCGAUUUGAGCUGGAGAGUCAGGAAAGGCAGGUCAUAUUAGAUUUGUUGAAAGAAAAGGUCUUAAAGAACGAACGGAACUCUGACUAAAAUUAGAUGUAUUUAUUUCCAGCAAUUUAUUUUGAACUCUUCUUUUAACUAAUGCAAUACCGGAUUGAUUUGGUCCCCUAUAUGAAAUAAUAUAAAUCCAAUAAAUUAUAGUUGUCGUUGAAUUGAUACAAUGAGCAAAUGCCUAGUGAAAUGCUUGAAAUCUAGAGAUUAAUUUAACACUUUGCAUUAGUAGCCACUGGAAUGGCGGUCACACUUUACAAUAAGGUUCAUUGGUUAAUGUUAAUUAAUGCAUUUACUAACGGGAACAAACAAUGAACAAUACAUUUACUACUGUAUUCGUUCAUGUUAGUUAACGUUAGUUAAUGAAAAUACAGUAGUUCAUUGUUAGUUCAUGUUAACUCAUGGUGCAUUAACUAAUGUUAACAAGCACGGGCUUGGAUGUUAAUAAUGCAUUAGUAAUUGUUCAAUUAUGAUUAAUAAAUUCUGUACAUGUGUUGUUAAUGAUGAGUUCAUGUUAGUAAAUGCAUUAACUAAUGAACCUUAUUGUAAAGUGUUACCGGAAUGGCUUAAUUAUAGAUGUUGCAAUGGCAGCACCAGUUUGACAGAAGCUUAUAGAAAACAUCACUUUUUGGUAGCACUACUGUGUCAUAGAUUGAUUGAACUUAACUUUCCUAGGAAAUAACUGAUAUAUUGGUCCUUUUCAGAACAGGUAUGUUACAAUAAGCUUGCAAACAAAUAUUAACUUACAGUACUGACUACGUUGUGCUGAAAGCUUUGUGUAAGUAACCUAUUACAAUUGUUAUUCAACCUGUCUCAGAACAAGUCUUGAUAGUAAACCUCAUUGUUAAAAAGAAAUAAAAAUAAAAUAAAUGUUAAUCUUCUUGUACUUUUUAAUAAUUUAAUGUCCUUUAAUGAAAAUGCAAGCAUCUGUGUACAAAUACAAAGAAAGUAAAGAGAAAGCUGCUAAGGGUUAUUCUAAAACUCAAAGCAAACUGAACAGCAGUUUAUUUUUUCCACAUUUUUUCAUGAAAUCAUUGUAAGCUUUGGCCCUAAUAUAUCAAAUCCAUAAUGUAAUACAACUUUCCAUGCUGUUGUUACAGCUGGCUUUACUGUGCAGUUAAACUAUUCAUUGAAUUACAAGAAAAUCGUUUGUGUCUCAAAACUGUAAUAAUGGCACUCAACAUCAUAUGACACAAAUAUAAACUAUUACCAAUCUGUUUUGUACAUUUUUAAAAAAAGUUUGUUCUUCUGCCGUAUAAUCUGAUAUACAGAUGGUUACUAUACAGAUCAGGUUCCCUCUGCCCUGCAAAGUGCAUUUGUUGCUGUAUAAUACCAAAGGAUUCCAGUGCUAUAUUUUGAGUGUGUUUGUGUUCCCUUCUUUGAAAAUGCUGUGGAACUGACUAUGAUUGCUAAAUUCACUGUUUAAUCAUACGUCACAAGCUCAAUAGUGCUGAUGCAGUAAUAGCACACUGAGGACACCUUCUGGUUAUAAGGUAAAAUGUAAAAUAAAAGCAUAAUCAAAAAAUAAAUUUGGUGUGAACAAGCCUUAUAAGACCUAUUGACCUUAGUCUUGACGUACAAGUGGACGCAGCCAUUGGUUCCUUUUUGGCUCAAAACUUCAGGUCUCAAAAAAAAUCAGUGCACUACCACAUUGCAGAAUAAGGU
rnacentral:lncRNA from 1 species